CAGCCGCCGCGGUAAUACGAAGGGUGCAAGCGUUAAUCGGAAUUACUGGGCGUAAAGCGUGCGUAGGCGGUUUGUUAAGUCAGAUGUGAAAUCCCCGAGCUUAACUUGGGAACUGCAUUUGAAACUGGCAAGCUAGAGUCUUGUAGAGGGGGGUAGAAUUCCAGGUGUAGCGGUGAAAUGCGUAGAGAUCUGGAGGAAUACCGGUGGCGAAGGCGGCCCCCUGGACAAAGACUGACGCUCAGGUGCGAAAGCGUGGGGAGCAAACAGGAUUAGAUACCCGGGUAGUCCCUGUCUCUUAUAA
rnacentral:rRNA from 1 species